rfam:Sugiyamaella lignohabitans strain CBS 10342 mitochondrion genome.
CGCAGUAUGGUGUAAUUGGCUAACACAUGAGACUCAUGAUCUCAUACUACGUGUUCGAAUCGCGUUAUUGCAA